AGCAGCCGCGGUAAUUCCAGCUCCAAUAGCGUAUAUUAAAGUUGCUGCAGUUAAAAAGCUCGUAGUUGAAUUUCGGGACUAAUAUGUCGGUCGUGCCUCGGUACGUACUGGCAUUGUUGGUUUCUCCCUUCUGACGAACCAUGAUGUCAUUUAUUUGGUGUCAUGGGAAAUCAGGACUGUUACUUUGAAAAAAUUAGAGUGUUUAAAGCAGGCUCACGCUUGAAUACAUUAGCAUGGAAUAAUGAAAUAGGACGUUUGAUUCUAUUUUGUUGGUUUCUAGGAUCGGCGUAAUGAUUAAUAGGGAUAGUUGGGGGCAUUAGUAUUCAAUUGUCAGAGGUGAAAUUCUUGGAUUUAUUGAAGACUAACUACUGCGAAAGCAUUUGCCAAGGAUGUUUUCAUUAAUCAAGAACGAAAGUUAGGGGAUCGAAGACGAUCAGAUACCGUCGUAGUCUUAACCAUAAACUAUGCCGACUAGGGAUCGGAUGAUGUUAAUUUUUAAUGACUCAUUCGGACCG
rnacentral:rRNA from 1 species